rnacentral:lncRNA from 10 species
CUCGUGAUCUGCCCGCCUUGGCCUCCCAAAGUGCUGGGAUUACAGGCAUGAGCCACCGCACCUGGCCCAAAAGACUUGUCUUCUAACAAAAUGUUCAGAAGGAGAGAUAUGAAAAUAUAUGCUAUGUUACAGGAUUAUGGCGAUUUUUCUUUUUUUAUUUGUAUUUAUUUUCUAAUAUUUUGACAGUUAACCUUUUGUUAUAAGAAGGAAAAGAACAAUAAAAACUUAUAAAAAAAUGUAAAACUCUCCCCCCACCCCUUCUUUUUCUUCCUUCUGAGGCUGUUUAUCAUGGCGUGGGUCAUGGGGCUACAACUGGGACGAGCUGCCACCCUGUGGGCAAGAGUGCCUUGGUAAUAUCUCCACGGUGGCUGCAAUGGCUUGGCUCCCUGCAACUGUGGUCAACUGGACUCAAGCAGCACAGUUUCACCCUCAAGCCGGGCUUCUCAACAGGGAGGUCAGGUAGUUCUCCACAUCCCCCACCCCAUCCUUGGCUCAUGCUGCCUUCAGGUUUUGCUUCCUACCCUUACCUCUUGAAGUCAGCCCAGCCCUGAAUGGUCAGUGGUCAUUCCCUAGGAGCCCUGUACUCCUCAGCUCUUCGUCCUUCUUUUCACUUCCUAGCACACCUUCAAUUGCCUGCUCUUCCCUCCAUGUGAGCCUAGAGCAGCUCCAAGUGAUAACAGGUCAGAAGGCAUCAGGGAUUAGAAAAACAAGUCCCCAUUUAAACGAAGAGCUAUGGAGCAGCUGCAUGGAUAUUCUUGCGCAAGUUCACAGCUAGCUAGGCUUUACUCCAGCCCCAGCUUCAGCCGGGGCAUUGUCUCUCCAUUCUGAGGUCUGGGAGGAGCUGGGUGCUGAGAAGACUCACCCGGUAGCCUCUCACUGCAGCACAUGUCCAGGGCCCCUCCCUCGGAGUCAUCAGCAGCGUGGUUCUCUCUCUCACUCCUGCAGCAGGAUGGAAAAGUUCCAGUAGUUUUGAACCAUGGGUGGACAAGAAGAGGGCUCUGAGUAACCCACAAUCCUGUGUCCAGCUCUCCAAGAUAUGCAAGUCCCCUCUGCCCCAGGCAGUGAAAAGUGGGUCUCUGAGAAUCACAAGUCCUAGAGC